rnacentral:rRNA from 1 species
UACGUAGGGACCAAGCGUUGUUCGGAUUUACUGGGCGUAAAGGGCGCGUAGGCGGCUUGACAAGUCACUUGUGAAAUCUCCGGGCUUAACUCGGAACGGCCAAGUGAAACUGUCAUGCUAGAGUGCAGAAGGGGCAAUCGGAAUUCUUGGUGUAGCGGUGAAAUGCGUAGAUAUCAAGAGGAACACCUGAGGUGAAGACGGGUUGCUGGGCUGACACUGACGCUGAGGCGCGAAAGCCAGGGGAGCGAACGGG